GGGGUACCAGUACUGAGUUGAUAUGCAGGGGUACCCGUACUGAGUUGAUAUGCAGGGGUACCAGUACUGAGUUGAUAUGCAGGGGUACCAGUACUGAGUUGAUAUGCAGGGGUACCAGUACUGAGUUGAUAUGCAGGGGUACCAGUACUGAGUUGAUAUGCAGGGGUACCAGGUCAUUGAGGUAGAUUUGCACAUAUACAGUGCCUUGCGAAAGUAUUCGGCCCCCUUGAACUUUGCGACCUUUUGCCACAUUUCAGGCUUCAAACAUAAAGAUAUAAAACUGUAUUUUUUUGUGAAGAAUCAACAAGUGGGACACAAUCAUGAAGUGGAACGACAUUUAUUGGAUAUUUCAAACUUUUUUAACAAAUCAAAAACUGAAAAAUUGGGCGUGCAAAAUUAUUCCAAUACUUUCGCAAGGCACUGUAACUAGGAAUCAAGUGACAGAUAAAAAACAGUGGCAACAACAGCAACAGAAAAGUUCAAUGCAGAUCGUCCAGGUAGCUAUUUGGUUCAUUAUUUAACUACCUAUUUAGCAGUCUCGUGGCUUGGGCCUAGAAGCUGUUCAGGUUCCUGUUGGUUCCAGACUUGGUGCAUCAGUGUUACUUGCCGUGCAGUAGCAGAGAGAACUACCUUUGACUUGGGUGGCUAGAGUCUUUGACAAUGUUUAGGGUCUUUCUCUGACACCGCCUGGUAUAGAGGUCCUGGAUAGCAGGGAACUCAGCUCCAGUGAUGUACUGGGCUGUUCGCACUACCAUCUGCGGUCGGAUGCCAAGCAGUUGCCAUACCAAGCGGUAAUGCAGACAAUCAAGAUGCUCUCAAUGGUGCAGUUGUAUAACUUUUUGAGGAUCUGAGGGCCUCCUGAAGGGGAAGAGGUGCUGCUGUGCCCUCUUCACAACUGUGUGGGUGUGUGUGGACCAUGUUAAUUCCUUAGUGAUGUAAGCACAGAGGAACUUGAAGCUCUCGACCCGCUCCACUACAGCCCCAUCGAUGUGGAUGAGGGUGUGCUUGGCCCUCCGUUUCCUGUAGUCCAUGAUCAGCUCCUUUGCCUUGCUGACAUUGAGGGAGAGGUUGUUGUCCUGACAGGGAGUACAGGAGGGGACUAAGCACACAUCCCUGAGGGUAAAUGGUUUGGUCUGGAGAGAGGAACUGGCCUGACCUGGUGUUCUGGAGAGGUUCUUUCCCGGUUAACCUGAUGUUGUGGACCAAAUCCGGGACACCUUUGCUGGAUUGUAUACAUUAGAUAUGGCAGGAGCAAGACAUGGUGCUGGACAUCUACUGAGGACCAAGAGUGAUGAACACACUGAUGGAGGUGUGUCUGCUGGAGUGGCACUGCUAGACAACCCACUCCUCGUCUGACCUAUACUGUCCUCUGUCAU
ensembl:lncRNA